AUAAAACAAAAGAAUUGCAACCCUAGCCUUAAACGAAACACAGUAUAACGGUGCUCUCGAUCUCCCUUCUCUCUCCCUUCGCUCUCGAUCUCCGAUAACACCGUUCUUCCCUCUCGGCUUCUCCUCUCUCCACCGGUUACGAUUUCUCUAGCUCCACGAUCGGAGCUUGUGUUGAAGUAUUCCAUUGACGUUGGUGUGGUGGUGAUUGACGCCGAUCGGGUCUUGUGUUCAACUAGUCAACGAUAUCAGAUCUUGGAUUGAUGGUUGUGAGUUAGAGUUUUAGAGACAAAUGAAGUGCUUGAAGAGUUCCCCUCCUUCUUGGCUCUUAUAUCAUUGCAGCUGAAAACCAUAAUCCAGGAAAAGGCAAGAGAGUUACUGAUAUUUUGUAAUGUUUCAAGUACUACUAGUGUUGUAAUAAUUUCUUCUUCGUUGUUUCUGCUAUGAUGUUCUAAAUAUGUACUAGUCUGGUACUGAAAUGAUUGUUUUUUAUUUUUGUGUUCUCUUUGUCUUCCCCACUUUUAAAUCAACACAAUCAUGUUAUAUAUAUAUAUAUGGAGUUGUUGGGGGAUAUUAAUUAUUAAUUAUUAGAUGGAACAGUGAUCACAUGCAAA